rnacentral:misc_RNA from 1 species
AACGCACGAGACCUGCGGACCUGCGGAAGGAUCAUUACUGAGUGAGGGCCCCUCGGGGUCCAACCUCCCACCCGUGUUUAACGAACCUUUGUUGCUUCGGCGGGCCCGCCUCACGGCCGCCGGGGGGCUCCUGCCCCCGGGCCCGCGCCCGCCGAAGCCCCCCCUUGAACGCUGUCUGAAGUUUGCAGUCUGAGAAACUAGCUAAAUUAGUUAAAACUUUCAGCAACGGAUCUCUAGAUC